CAUCGCCUCUUGACUAAAUAUAAGAGGUCCAGCCUGCCCACUGACAUAGUUUAACGGCCGCGGUACCCUAACCGUGCGAAGGUAGCAUAAUCACUUGUUCUUUAAAUAAGGACUCGUAUCAACGGCAUCACGAGGACUGUACUGUCUCCUUUCUCCAAUCAGUGAAACUGAUCUCCCCGUGAAGAAGCGGGGAUUAACCUAUAAGACGAGAAGACCCCAUGGAGCUUAAAGCCCAUAAACACCUCUACGCACUUAAAUCAAUCUAGCCUAAGAGACCUGUCAGCCAGCUUUAGGUUGGGGGGACCGCGGAGAAAAAUUUAACCUCCACGACAAACGGGCAAACGCCCUAAUCCAUGAAUUACAAUUCUAAGAAUCAAUAAACUGAUGUUUAAUGACCCGAUUAUUCGAUCAACGAACCAAGUUACCCUGGGGAUAACAGCGCAAUCUACUUUAAGAGCCCAUAUCGACAAGUAGGUUUACGACCUCGAUGUUGGAUCAGGGUAUCCUAGUGGUGCAGCCGCUACUAAAGG
rnacentral:rRNA from 1 species